rnacentral:rRNA from 1 species
GCAUAUCAAUAAGCGGAGGAAAAGAAACCAACAGGGAUUGCCCUAGUAACGGCGAGUGAAGCGGCAACAGCUCAAAUUUGAAAUCUGGCGCAAGCCCGAGUUGUAAUUUGUAGAGGAUGCUUCUGGCCAGCGGCCGUUCUAAGUUCCUUGGAACAGGACGUCAUAGAGGGUGAGAAUCCCGUAUGUGACCGGCGCGCAGCCUUUACGUAGCUCCUUCGACGAGUCGAGUUGUUUGGGAAUGCAGCUCUAAAUGGGAGGUAAAUUUCUUCUAAAGCUAAAUACCGGCCAGAGACCGAUAGCGCACAAGUAGAGUGAUCGAAAGAUGAAAAGCACUUUGGAAAGAGAGUUAAAAAGCACGUGAAAUUGUUGAAAGGGAAGCGCUUGCAACCAGACUUCGUAGCGAUGUUCCGCUGGUCUUCUGACCGGUCUACUCAUCGUCGCGAGGCCAACAUCGUCUGGGCCCGCUGGAUAAGACCUAAGGAAUGUGGCUUCUCUUCGGGGAAGUGUUAUAGCCUGUGGUGAUGCAGCGUGGCUCGGGCGAGGUCCGCGCU